rnacentral:sRNA from 1 species
GCUGGGCGUGGUGGCACACGCCUGUAAUCCCAGCUACUUGGGAGGCUGAGGCAGGAGAAUCACUUGAACCCGGGAGGCGGAGGUUGCAGUGAGCCAAGAUCGUGCCACUGCACUCCAGCCUGGGUGACAGAGUGAGACUCUGUCUCAA